AGCGAACGCUGGCGGCAGGCUUAACACAUGCAAGUCGAGCGGGCAUUCUAGUGGUGUUAGCGGCAGACGGGUGAGUAAUGUGAGUGAACGUGCCCCUCGUGUCUGAAUAACGCAGGGAAACUUGAGCUAAUACCGGAUACGUGCGAGAGCAGAAAGGUUUAUCUGCCGAAGGAUCGGCCCGCGUCUGAUUAGCUAGUUGGUGAGGGUAUGGCUCACCAAGGCGACGAUCAGUAGCUGGUCUGAGAGGAUGAUCAGCCACCCUGGGACUGAGACACGGCCCAGACUCCUACGGGAGGCAGCAGUGGGGAAUAUUGGACAAUGGAGGCAACCCUGAUCCAGCCAUGCCGCGUGAGUGAUGAAGGCCUUAGGGUUGUAAAGCUCUUUUCGCCGGGACGAUAAUGACGGUACCGGACGAAUAAGCCCCGGCUAACUUCGUG
rnacentral:rRNA from 1 species